rnacentral:rRNA from 1 species
GUGGGGAAUAUUGGACAAUGGGCGAAAGCCUGAUCCAGCCAUGCCGCGUGUGUGAAGAAGGUCUUCGGAUUGUAAAGCACUUUAAGUUGGGAGGAAGGGUAGUAACCUAAUACGUUGCUACUUUGACGUUACCGACAGAAUAAGCACCGGCUAACUUCGUGCCAGCAGCCGCGGUAAUACGAAGGGUGCAAGCGUUAAUCGGAAUUACUGGGCGUAAAGCGCGCGUAGGUGGUUCAGUAAGUUGGAAGUGAAAUCCCCGGGCUCAACCUGGGAACUGCUUUCAAAACUGCUGAGCUAGAGUACGGUAGAGGGUGGUGGAAUUUCCUGUGUAGCGGUGAAAUGCGUAGAUAUAGGAAGGAACACCAGUGGCGAAAGCGACCACCUGGACUGAUACUGACACUGAGGUGCGAAAGCGUGGGGAGCAAACAGGAUUAGAAACCCCGGUAGUCC